rnacentral:rRNA from 1 species
GUAGGUGGCAAGCGUUGUCCGGAAUUAUUGGGCGUAAAGCGCGCGCAGGCGGUCCUUUAAGUCUGAUGUGAAAGCCCACGGCUCAACCGUGGAGGGUCAUUGGAAACUGGGGGACUUGAGUACAGAAGAGGAAAGCGGAAUUCCAAGUGUAGCGGUGAAAUGCGUAGAGAUUUGGAGGAACACCAGUGGCGAAGGCGGCUUUCUGGUCUGUAACUGACGCUGAGGCGCGAAAGCGUGGGGAGCAAACAGGGAUUAGAUACCCUGGUAGUCCACGCCGUAAACGAUGAGUGCUAAGUGUUAGGGGGUUUCCGCCCCCUUAGUGCUGCAGCUAACGCAUUAAGCACUCCGCCUGGGGAGUACGGCCGCAAGGCUG